UACGUAGGGGGGCAAGCGUUGUCCGGAAUCAUUGGGCGUAAAGCGCGUGUAGGCGGCCCGGUAAGUCCGCUGUGAAAGUCCAGGGCUCAACCCUGGGAUGCCGGUGGAUACUGUCGGGCUCGAGUCCGGAAGAGGCGAGUGGAAUUCCUGGUGUAGCGGUGAAAUGCGCAGAUAUCAGGAGGAACACCGAUGGCGAAGGCAGACUCGCU
rnacentral:rRNA from 1 species